UGAGCUGAGCAAGUCGAUUCACAGGAUCCCC
rnacentral:piRNA from 1 species